AAAGUAGUACUCUGGAUUCAGUAGCUGGACACUAGUUCCAUAUUUAAUAUUACUCUUGUUCUGCCUGCUUCAGAAAGCCUAGUGGGAUAAGAAAAGGCUUGUUGUAUCACACAACUUAUUGCUUCCUACGUAUGGAGCACAGCUCUUUUCCUAGCACCUCUUGCCACUUGGUUGGGUACACACCUCAAGGACAUGGCCUGUACACUGAAGUUGCUGCUGCAGGAAUGAUCUGCUGUUUUCCUGACGUUUCCACUCAGAGAUGCCACUGUACUUGGAGGAAUUUUGAAAUAUUCACACACAAACUGCUUCUGAGGAAAAAGAAGUCAUCUGGCAGGAUGAAAAAAACUAAUGCACUCUCUGAUAUGACAUUGUGUCAAGGCAUACAAAGAGAAGUCUUGGGAAUGGAGAUUAAGAGGGAACUUCCAGAUGUCACCAGAACACUAGCGAUGCAAGGCUGCUGGUACCUCAUGAUGCCCACAAGUAUGCAGCUGUCUACACCAACCAGCAGUGUGGCUGAGGAGUGGACCAGGUCUGAACUGUGCCAUCAGUGGAUCACCAGAAGGAAUCAUUGAAGAAGUUUUCCUUCUAUGUUGGUUUCUAAGCAAUGAGGAAGGUACAAUGCACUGCAUAACAGUAUACAAUAACUACCCUUAUGGAAGGUGGUUACAAAAGACCGUGAAAGAGAUGAACUUCAGAUCCAGGGUCACAAGGAAACUUCUUACAAUCAAAACUCUGUUUGCUCACCUCUGAUGUUUGCAGAAGUGACAACUAAGUCUGCUAGUUGAAGUUUUUCUACUAUACUGGAGAUGUCUGCAACCUAGUGUUCAGUGCAACUAAAUAGAAGACUGUAAACAAUGCUGGAUGCCCUGGCCCAGGAGAGGCUUUGAAACCUUCUCCUGUUUCUUCAACACUUGAUGGUGAUUGUUUGACUGGAGAUUUACAGCAGACUUGAAUCCCAAAGCUUUUAAACAGCUGAAGUUACAGAAGCUUGAAAUGGUGUUUGGCUUCAUCAGAGUGAUAUUGGUAUCAUCAUCCGACGUCUUUCUACAUUCCAGCAGUCAAAUGUUGCUACCACUGAAAACACCAGAACAGCUUAAAGAAAAAGCAGUUUAUAGGUCUUAUCCUCCAGGCAUGUUUGUGUAUGUCUGAACUCCAACCACAUCAGUAAUGUUACUAGCUUUAAUGGAAUCUCUCCUGUGAUAGUUUAUCGCAUGUAUAAGAAUUUGUAUGAUGAAGGCCUCAGUUAGUUAUCUCCAAGGGGAAGCAGCCAAGGAAGCAAUGAACAGGGAGGAAAGAAGAUUUCCCCUCCUGCUCUUACAGAUAGCCCCUUCCAGUUAGGGUUGAGAAGACCUGAUGGAGCCAGAGAGUAUGUAGGGGUAUGUCUGCAAAACAUCUGUUGCUUGCGCAGUGUUUUCUUUCACAGAAUGGGAGAAUCAUAGCGUGGCUGAUAUGGGAAGAGGCUUCUGGAGACUGCCUAGUCCAAACUCCCUGCUUGAGCAGGGUCAGCUAGAGGAGGUCACUCAAAGCUAUAUCCAAUCAGGUAUUUUUGAACUCCGAGGAGAAACAUCCAACAACUCCUCUGGGCAACCUGUGCCACUCUGAUCAUCUUCAUAUUGAAUUUUAUUUUUCUUAUGUUUAGAUAGAAUUUCUUGUGUUCAGUUUGUUUCCAUCGCCUCUUGUCCUAUCCCUGGGCACCACUGAUAUGAAUGUUGGUCCAUGAAAGUCCCAUGUUGCAUGUAAAUAUGUAGGCGACUAAAUUUGUACCCUUGUCUCCCCUCCAUCAUCUUUUCAUAAGAAGCUAAGAUGCAAGAAAAGAAAAAGAGAUUGCAUGUUCUUCACAUGAACAUUUUUGUAACUACCAAAUGAAGGGUUCCAUUGCUACUUGCUCCAUUAAAGCCACAAUACAACAAUAUUUGAAUUGACACUGCAAAACAGCAAAGCAGAAGUUCCUGCAGUCAAAAAUAAAAAGGGAUAUAAGUGUGGAGAUGCUUUAUGUCUGUAAGAAGAAGGAAUUACUGUGUAUACAUUAAGCAAAAUCCAUGUAUCUAUUAAGUAAGAGAUAAAAGGAUUGCAUCAGUGAUAAUGUUCCCUGAUAUAAUAACAGCAAAAAGGAGAAACUAUUCCAGAGAAGAAUCCAGUUCAAUAUUGAAAUAAUAUUUUCAAUUUAUAAAAUAUUCUGUCAGUAGUGAUUCUUUCUGUCAUUAGUUUUGUUACUACUGUUAUCUUCAAUGUCCCUAAUUCAGAUGUAAACAUAGUGAUAGCAUUUCCCAUGGCUGUAAGAACUGGCUUUGUGUGGAAAAGGAAAGAAUUAAAAGAAAAGUCAUUUGAAAGGAAAAAUCUUUUCUUCUUCCUUUUUCUUGUCCCUAAAAACAAAAGGAGUGGAGGUAUGACUAUCAAAAAAAGACCCAGCAAAACCAAACAACAACAACAAAAAUACCAAAAAAUCUUGGCAAAGAUGGAAUGUAACUUAUUGUGUGAAGCAACAGAAGGCAGUAAGCCAGGAAAAAAAGAGAUAAGAAUGUCUUUGAAAAUAUUAAAUUAUAGCAUGCCUUGAAUUAUCUCCUUUAAAUUCUUAAAAUGUUCGUAGUUAUUGUUUGAAUUACUGCAACGGAAAAAAUGCAUAUAAAGCAUAUAAUAAUAAAAGACUAUGUAUUUUUCUUUUACUCCACUGUAUUCUGUUCACUGUAGUAAAUUAUGUGUGUGCAUUGUCAUAUACAGGCAUGUAUGUCAUUAUACAUUUGCUAGGUCUUUAUAUUUUUGUAUAAUUAUUUCAUAUUUAAAAUUUUAAAACUAUACACUUUGCAAUCCAAUUUGCAGAAGUCCUACUAAGUCCGACAAAAAUGAACCUAGGAAAAGAACACAAACAAAGUUGUCUAAAACUAGCUGGGCAACUUACUUUCUGGAAAGAAUGUUUUGCAAAAGGGAAUUGAAAGAUUAAUUGCAAAGUUUUCUUCAAAACUUUAGAAGAUAUUCUGAUGUAAACCUUGAAAAUAAAAUGAAUGAAGAUGUAAUUGGUAUCUUACUUGUGUUCAACAGUAGUGUUUGAGCAGGUAUCAUAGUAUAAUAGAAUGGCCUGGGUAGAAAAGACCACAAUGAUCAUCAAGUUUCAACCCCCCUGCUAUGUGCAGGGUCACCAACCACUAGACCAGGCUGCCCAGAGCUACAUCCAGCCUGGCCUUGAAUGCAUCUAGGGAUGGGGCAUCCACAACCUCCUUGGGUAACCUGUUCCAGUGCAUCACCACUCUCUGUAUGAAAAACUUCCUCCUAAUAUCUAAUCUAAACCUCCACAUCCUAGUUUAAAACCAUGAGAAGAAGCAAUGGAGGCCAAUGUAGCAAAUCAGCUACAACUUCUGUAUACCUAUAAAGAUAAAUCCCAUUCUGUUCCUUAGGAGUCUAAUAGUGUACCAUCAUGUACCUGUGUGUAUUGUACAACAGUGACAUCAUUCGUACUGACUGGAAUAGGUAUCUAGAAGGAGG
ensembl:lncRNA